UGAGAAAACGUCGUUGCCGAGGAAGCGUGGAUGCUAAAACUAACUCUGGAGCUGUUUUUUUGUCGAACACGAGUGAGACUGAAUGCUGAAUUCAUUUGCGGCGCGAAGGUUUACUCGUUCAGCUGCUGCAGCCUGGACAGGAAGACCAGUUCUCACCUUACAAACCAAACAGGUGUCACCACUUCGUCCACGAUCAGAGUCUUCACACAAUGAAGUUAUUUGAAACCAGAACAGAGGCCUCCAGG